rnacentral:rRNA from 1 species
UACGUAGGGUGCGAGCGUUGUCCGAAAUUAUUGGGCGUAAAGAGCUUGUAGGCGGUCUGUCGCGUCUGCUGUGAAAAUCCGGGGCUCAACCCCGGACUUGCAGUGGGUACGGGCAGACUAGAGUGUGGUAGGGGAGACUGGAAUUCCUGGUGUAGCGGUGAAAUGCGCAGAUAUCAGGAGGAACACCGAUGGCGAAGGCAGGUCUCUGGGCCACUACUGACGCUGAGAAGCGAAAGCAUGGGGAGCGAACAGG